CAAGCAAGCAUUCCUUAGCUCAUCCGUUUUACCCUGUUCUAAAAGGGGAGGCAUCUCUUCCGAGAAGCAAAUAUGAGGAAGAUGUCUAAAUCAAUGACCACACUAGUGUUUGGGGCUCAUGGUGGAAGGAUCAUCAAUGGGGCUACAAGUGCUGUCAACAAACGAUUAAAAAUAGUUACUGCACUGGAGCAGCUGGAAUUGAGGCUGCUGAAGCGGCAGCAGAUUUAAUGAAGGCAAAUGUUGCCCGUAAAGCAGCCUCUGAAGACAAGCCUGCCCCAGCAGAGGAUCUUUGAUUAAUUUCACUAUAUUCUUCCACAAAUUUUUGAAGGUAUUGCUGUUCUUAUUUCACCGUAUUCUUUGAUCCAAUGGAGUGCUUAAUUUAGCGUUGUUGUGAUUA